AAAAAUUUAGUUAAAAUUAUAACAUUAGUUUGUCAAACUAAAAUUAUUUAUAAAAUAAUUUUUA
rnacentral:tRNA from 1 species